UUGGACAUCGCAACCUCCAGUAUGCCAGGAGACUUGAGCUAGUGGGUUAUGAAGCAUUAUGACCCUGAAAGAUCACAGCUGGUCAUCCCGAAGAGGGGCAGGAUUCCAGUUGAUGCAGCUAGUGUUCAUAGGAUAUGGGGUCUGCCAAACAGGGGGAGGAAGGUGUGCUAAGAGAAUAGAGCAGAAUACACAACUCCAAUGAAUGCAAUCUUGAAGAUUACUACCAAAGGUCCACCAUCACUGACAUCAUGGUGCAAAAUGAUUAAGGACAUGGCUGGGGCAGCAGAUGACAAUUUCUUGCGUGCUUGGUUGGCAGUUGCUUUCUUAUGUUUCCUUGCUCCUACAACAAGUUUGAACAUAUCACCAUGGUGCUAUCCUGCUGUGAUGCAUGUGGAUGCAAUAACAGAGACCAAUGUGUGCCAAUUUGUAGUUGAUCAACUAAAGUUGGCAUUCGCGGGGGCAAGUGAUAAGAAGGCAGUGUGCUGUUGUGUAAUGCACUUAGUUGUAAGUGCAACUUGUUCUUUCCCCUUUUUCUGUUAUCGUCUUGUUAUAUAA
rnacentral:rRNA from 1 species